rnacentral:tRNA from 1 species
GCCCCAGUAGCUCAGCGGAUAGAGCAGCAGCCUUCUAAUCUGUCGGUCGCAGGUUCGAUUCCUGCCUGGGGCGCCA